AAGCAGGAUUUAGACUCUAAUAUAGCUGUUACAUACUGCGCUGUCCUUCCCCCUGCUCAAAAUAAAGUUGUUUCUUAACUAUAUCUGUCUGCUAUACUCCUGUAGCAGCCAGGGAUGCUUGGUCUCAUACAU
ensembl:snoRNA SNORA63 Small nucleolar RNA SNORA63